rnacentral:tRNA from 1 species
GCCCCGAUAGUUCAAUGGAUAGAACAAGGCCCUCCUAAGGCUUAGAUCUGGGUUCGAUUCCCGGUCGGGGCACCA